rnacentral:rRNA from 1 species
UACGUAGGGUGCGAGCGUUGUCCGGAAUUAUUGGGCGUAAAGGGCUCGUAGGCGGUCCGUCACGUCGGGAGUGAAAACUCAGGGCUUAGCUCCGGGCCUGCAGUGGGUACGGGCAGACUAGAGUGCGGUAGGGGAGACUGGAAUUCCUGGUGUAGCGGUGAAAUGCGCAGAUAUCAGGAGGAACACCGGUGGCGAAGGCGGGUCUCUGGGCCGUAACUGACGCUGAGGAGCGAAAGCGUGGGGAGCGAACAGG